UACGUAGGGGGCAAGCGUUAUCCGGAUUUACUGGGUGUAAAGGGAGCGUAGGCGGCCAUGCAAGUCAGAAGUGAAAGCCCGGGGCUCAACCCCGGGACUGCUUUUGAAACUGUAAGGCUAGAUUGCCGGAGAGGUAAGCGGAAUUCCUAGUGUAGCGGUGAAAUGCGUAGAUAUUAGGAGGAACACCAGUGGCGAAGGCGGCUUACUGGACGGUGAAUGACGCUGAGGCUCGAAAGCGUGGGGAGCAAACA
rnacentral:rRNA from 1 species